GCCGCGUGAGCGAUGAAGCCCUUCGGGGUGUAAAGCUCUUUCGGCAGGGACGAUAAUGACGGUACCUGAAGAAGAAGCUGCGGCUAACUACGUGCCAGCAGCCGCGGUAAUACGUAGGCGGCGAGCGUUGUUCGGAAUUACUGGGCGUAAAGAGUGUGUAGGCGGUGCUCUAAGUUCGGUGUGAAAUCUCCUGGCUUAACUGGGAGGGUGCGCCGGAAACUGGAGUGCUCGAACGUGGGAGAGGAAAGCGGAAUUCCUGGUGUAGCGGUGAAAUGCGUAGAUAUCAGGAGGAACACCUGCGGUGUAGACGGCUUUCUGGACCAUUGUUGACGCUGAGACACGAAAGCGUGGGUAGCAAACAGGAUUAGAUACCCUGGUAGUCCACGCCCUAAACGAUGCAUACUUGGUGUCGGCCAUUCAGUUGGUCGGUGCCGGAGCUAACGCGUUAAGUAUGCCGCCUGGGGAGUACGGUCGCAAGGCUGAAACUCAAAGGAAU
rnacentral:rRNA from 1 species